rnacentral:rRNA from 2 species
CUUGAGAGAUAUAAGAGGUCCAGCCUGCCCAGUGACCUAGUUCAACGGCCGCGGUAUCCUAACCGUGCGAAGGUAGCGUAAUCACUUGUUCUUUAAAUAAGGACUAGUAUGAAUGGCACCACGAGGGUUUAACUGUCUCCUUUUUCUAAUCAGUGAAACUAAUCUCCCCGUGAAGAAGCUGGGAUUUUUUUAUAAGACGAGAAGACCCUAUGGAGCUUUAAACUAUUUUACACCUGCUGCCCACAAACCAACUUCCAGAAAUUAACCCUAAAGCAUAGCACUUUGAUUAAUAGUUUUUGAUUGGGGUGAUCGCGGAGUAAAAAAUAACCUCCACGACGAAAGGAUUUUUCCUGAGCCAUAAGCCACAGCUUUAAGCACUAAUAUUAUUAACGGCUAUUGACCCAAUAAUUUUGAUCAACGAAC